AAUAUGGGACAAUGGGGGCAACCCUGAUCCAGCCAUGCCGCGUGUGUGAAGAAGGUCUUCGGAUUGUCAAGCACUUUAAGUUGGGAGGAAGGGCUUUAGGUUAAUACCCUGAAGUGUGGACGUUACCAACAGAAUAAGCACCGGCUCACUUUGGGCUAGCAGCCGCCGUAAUUCAGAGGGUGCAAGCGUUAAUCGGAAUUACUGGGCGUAAAGCGCGCGUAGGUGGUUCAGUAAGAUGGGUGUGAAAUCCCCGGGCUUAAUCUGGGAACUGCUUUCAUAACUGCUGAGCUAGAGUACGGUAGAGGGUAGUGGAAUUUCCUGUGUAGCGGUGAAAUGCGUAGGUAUAGGAAGGAACACCAGUGGCGAAGGCGACUACCUGGACUGAUACUGACACUGAGGUGCGAAAGCGUGGGGAGCAAA
rnacentral:rRNA from 1 species